GUCUAUGGCCAUGCCACCCCAAAUGAGCCCAAUCUUGUCUGAUCUCGGAAGCUAAGCAGGGUCAGGUCUGGGUAGUACUUGGAUGGGAGACCACCUAGGAAGACCAGGUGCCGUAGGCC
rnacentral:rRNA from 1 species